UUUCUCAUAUUGAUUAGUGUUUAAUAGAGUCAGUAAAUACCCUUGCAUUAAUAUGCUGACAAGUAGAUUUUGACAAUUUGAAAAAAGCAAAGGAUGAAUUAAUUCCUGUGGGGUCUAUGAAUUUUAUAUUUUAAAGCAGUUAAAGUAGGGGAAAAAACCUACACACACAGGACAUUUUAUACUUGAAACUGGAAUUAUUUUAGCAAGUGAGGAUGCCAAGUAGAAUGUCAGUGUAUAGAGAUUUAGCCUUAAUGAUAUAUGCUUGAAGUAAUGAUUGAGUCUAAACAAAUGUUCCACCUAGAUUAGAGGUUGUCUGUUUGAAUAAUUUUAGGGAUGGACAAAGUAGUUGUAUUUCUUAGCUUAUAGGUACAAAAAGCUGGUGUGCAAAAUAGGUACUUGUGAAGGGAAUUUAUACCAAUGUGUCAUGUGACACUUCUGCAGUCAAUUUGUAAGAUAAAUUCAAAUAAGGCUUUCAGUUCUGAUGACAAACAGGAAACAUUCACGCUUUUUGUUUCUCACAGUGAAAUACAAGCUACACUAGUGAUGUAAUAGGAACGAAAGAAGAAGGAAAUGCCACAGUUAAGUGGACAACUGCAGUCAGGAAAUUCUUAGCUGUUACUUUGCUACCUUUGCCAUCUUGCUGAAAAGCACUGACUAGACCUAAAGGGAAUAAACAGUUAAUGCUUUUGCUGUUUACUAAAUCUAAACAAUGCUCAUGUCUCCAUAAACAGUAGGUACCGAAACCUCAGUAACUGCUUACACAGAAUUCUAGGCCAAAGAAGAGACAGAUUUAAGAUGUAUGUUAAACUUGUCAAUAUAAACUUGUCAAUAUAAAGUCAUUCUCUGACUGAUUUUUCAUUACCAGUUCCUUCCUUCCUUCCUUCCUUCCUUCCUUCCUUCCUUCCUUCCUUCCUUCCUUC
rnacentral:lncRNA from 1 species